rnacentral:rRNA from 1 species
GACGAACGCUGGCGGCGUGCCUAAUACAUGCAAGUAGAACGCAGUUGCGGACGGGUGAGUAACGCGUAGGUAACUGCCUCUUAGCGGGGGAUAACUAUUGGAAACGAUAGCUAAUACCGCAUACUGUGAAGUGGACCUGCGUUGUAUUAGCUAGUUGGUGAAGUAAAGGAUCACCAAGGCGACGAUACAUAGCCGACCUGGGAGGGGUGUUGGCCACACCGGGACUGGGACACCGCCCAGACCCCUUCGGGGAGCAGCCGUAAGGGAACUUUCGGAAUUGGGCGAAGUCUGACCGAGCAACGCCGGGUUAGGGAAUAAGGUUUUUGGAACGUAAAGCUCUGGUGCUUGAGAAGCGGUAACUAACCAGAAAGGGACGGCUAACUACGUGCCAGCAGCCGCGGUAAUAC